rnacentral:rRNA from 1 species
UACAGAGACUGCAAGCGUUAUUCGGGAUUCACUGGGCGUAAGGGUGCGCAGGCGGCCCAAGUGUGUGAGGCGUGAAAGCCUGGAGCUUAACUCCAGAAUUGCACCUCAAAACUACAUGGCUAGAGCCAUUGGAGAGGGUAGCAGAAUUCAUGGUGUAGCAGUGAAAAUGCGUAGAUAUCAUGAGGAAUACCAGAGGCGAAAGGCGGCUACCCUGGGACAAUUGCUGACUCAGG